CCUUGACAUUGCCAGUAACGAUUGCACGAUUUGCCCAAAGGAACGUUCCCGUUCGCGUCGUCGUUGCACAGUGCUGUCGAACGAAAAAAAAUCAUAAAUGAAAUAUACACCGAUUUGGAGAUACAAAUGGAGAAUGUUCACAAUGGAGACAUCUGAUGGUGUAAGAAGAAAAGACUUUCGAAACUGCAUUUUUUAAUGCAAACUUAUCGAUAUAUCCAGUGGAUUUUGAAAAUAUUUUUGUGUUCAUUCAAUCGAUGUCGAAAGAUGAAACUAUUCCAAGAUUAAUUUCCUCGCGGAUAGAUCAUCGUGAAUGAAACUUCUUCUAGAUUUGUCACGGGUACACGGUCACCGUCGAGACGACAGUGGCGACGACGCGUGGGGCAGACGCGAAGGCGAGCUCGCCUCGAAUGCUAAUUAACGACUCGCCUCUUUUCUACAGUGGAGGCCACUGACUCGUGGCUCGCACACAGAGCCACGCGCGUGUACCUACUCUUACAUGCUCACUUUCGAAAGUGAGAAUGAUCGUCGUCCCCUCUGGCAACGAGUUUCGCGAAAGAGAGGAGAGAGAAAGAGAGAGAAAGGGGAGACGAAGAAUUCCCUGAAUCGGUUAAUUGAGAAACUCGUACGGUACAGAAAAGGUGUAUGAGACAUCGAUUUUUCUGCAUUAACUUGAUAUUCGUUUUAUAAGAUUGUGUACGUUUUACCGAAAGAAAUUUAUUCGUACGUUUCAAUUGGAAAUAUCUUAAUUUAAAAAUUCUGAUUUUAGCAAAAAUCAAAAAUUUACUUCUGAAUAUUCUCCGAUUUUAAGAAAUUUAUUUUAAAACUUUGUACAUUGACUUUAUCUCCUUUGGUAAAAAGAAAAUUGCUUAUAUACGACUUUACGUACCAAUAAAAUUUCAUUAGGAAUAAAAAAAAUUUCGUCGAGAAAUAAAAAAGCAAUUUCGAAUAUUUUCAUAAAUACACUUGUUCGUUAUUCAACUUUCCUCUAAAAUCAUUUUACGAGUGGAACUAUCCUGCAUGAAUAUUAUUUUCAAAAAA